rnacentral:rRNA from 1 species
AGUGAACGCUGGCGGUAGGCCUAACACAUGCAAGUCGAACGGCAGCACAGUAAGAGCUUGCUCUUACGGGUGGCGAGUGGCGGACGGGUGAGGAGUACAUCGGAAUCUACUUUUUCGUGGGGGAUAACGUAGGGAAACUUACGCUAAUACCGCAUACGACCUACGGGUGAAAGCAGGGGAUCUUCGUACCUUGCGCGAUUGAAUGAGCCGAUGUCGGAUUAGCUAGUUGGCGGGGUAAAGGCCCACCAAGGCGACGAUCCGUAGCUGGUCUGAGAGGAUGAUCAGCCACACUGGAACUGAGACACGGUCCAGACUCCUACGGGAGGCAGCAGUGGGGAAUAUUGGACAAUGGGCGCAAGCCUGAUCCAGCCAUACCGCGUGGGUGAAGAAGGCCUUCGGGUUGUAAAGCCCUUUUGUUGGGAAAGAAAAGCAGCAGGUUAAUACCCCGCUGUUCUGACGGUACCCAAAGAAUAAGCACCGGCUAACUUCGUG